rnacentral:rRNA from 1 species
GAUGAACGCUGGCGGCGUGCCUAAUACAUGCAAGUCGAGCGAACAGACGAGGAGCUUGCUCCUCUGACGUUAGCGGCGGACGGGUGAGUAACACGUGGAUAACCUACCUAUAAGACUGGGAUAACUUCGGGAAACCGGAGCUAAUACCGGAUAAUAUAUUGAACCGCAUGGUUCAAUAGUGAAAGAUGGUUUUGCUGCCACCUAUAGAUGGAUCCGCGCCGCAUUAGCUAGUUGGUAAGGUAACGGCUUACCAAGGCAACGAUGCGAAGCCGACCUGAGAGGGUGAUCGGCCACACUGGAACUGGGACACGGUCCAGACUCCUACGGGGGGCAGCAGUAGGGAAUCUUGCGCAAGGGGCGAAGGCCUGACGGAGCAACGCCGCGUGAGUGAUGAAGGUCUUCGGAUCGUAAAACUCUGUUAUUAGGGAAGAACAAAUGUGUAAGUAACUAUGCACGUCUUGACGGUACCUAAUCAGAAAGCCACGGCUAACUACGUG